rnacentral:lncRNA from 1 species
UUCAGGCCAUCUAUGUCAUUUAGCUCCAGCACUAUCAGACUUGGGAAUGCCUCCGGAUGGAAGGUGAAACGGAGGUCGUCAACCUGGAACGACUUCGCCCCCAGACGUAAGCUGACCAGGUUUGGAAGCUUCCCAAGAACUUGGAGUGCAGGUUCGUGUUCCAGUAUUCUAGAGCUCCUUAGAACCAACUUCACAAGAUUCUUGAGCCCCUCGACCCAUCCUGGCAAUUUGAGCAGAUUGCCGUAUAUCUUGAGGCUUGCAGGUUUUUCGGAGCGGAGGUCAAGCCAUCCAAACAGCCAUGCAAACCUGGCAUCCCACGUGCCUGCACUAGCAAAGAUUCCAGGUAGCUGAGAUUGGCAACGACUGAACACAAUUCCUGGCCGUUUUCCUGGUUGAUGCCAGCCACAGCUAACUUGCGCAACUGGGUCAGUCGUUUUAUGUCCCGUAGAAUUGCUUUGUCCCAUGCGAGAUUCACAAGACCCAAUGUGCGCAGGGAUUUUAGUUUCCCUAUCCCUCUUGGCAUCCAAGUUGGACCUUCUUUCGCCAUCAGAAGAGGGAGCAUGACGCAGCAACACUGAGUGCAUACAUCACACCUAUUCAUGUCACCAUCCACAUCCAUAACCUCUUUAAGAAGUUGAGGUGCGCAACAUGCCAUGCAAAAUCCUAGCAACCAACCCAUACAAAUGCAUGGCCCCAGCACUACUUUUGGCAGUUCUUCAAAUGCAUUUAAUGAAUCAUCAUCCUUUCCAACAGCCCCAACACAAAGAUAUUGUAGCUUCUUGAGCUUGGUGAUGGUCUUGGGCAGCUUAAAAAUCGAUGUUUUUGAAAUAUCUAGUGUUUCUAGUUGCUUCAGAUUACCCAACGAAUCUGAUACGUGAAAAAUAUAAUCACAUCCUCUUAGAGAAAGGUAUCUGAGGUGAAGAAGCUUCCCAAUAUACUCUACGUGAUGAUUAACCAGACCUGAUGUGCCUUCCAAGUCCAGCACACGCAAGAACCUCAUCUUGUCAGAAAUGAAAAAGGACCUCCACUUCCCAAACACUGUUAACGAGCGUAUGCGGGACAGAUCCACUUUGUUCUCAAACUCACUCUUAUCUGCUUCCCAGUUGGUGCUUAUGACAAGGUGACGAACUGUGCCCUGGGUGUUUGAGCUGCAACCUUCCUCCAUUCUAAAAACAAGAUUUUCUUCUAUAGACUUUGAGAUGCUAAUCUCACGCAUGAGAUCAUGGACUUGGCAAGAGUCAAUUCCUUUUCUACUAUUAACUGAUAGCUGAGAAGGUAGGAUCAUGCUCCUCUCUAUUAGUUCCAUGAAGUAGUUGUCAGCUACUUCUUCUGGGGACUUAUCUCGAAUCUCCCGUGAGUAACCUUCUGCACUCCACCGUCGUAUCAAACAUCUUCGACUAAUCUUGUGAUCUUCAGGGAAGACGGAUGUAUACAGGAAACAAGACUUAAGAUGAUAUGGUAGACCAUCGUAACUUUUACCGAGAAUUGUUUUUAUGGCCCCAACCUCUGGGUUCAUUUCCAAUUCAGCACUAAUAUGCUCAUUCAAUUUCCUCCACUCUACCGCUACUUUUGGUUGCUUUGCCAAGAAGCCUCUGAUGGUGACUAUUGCAAGGGGAAGUCCAUUGCACUUCUUCAAGAUCAUGUUUGCUUCUUUGAUCAAUUCAGGAUGCUUGUCCAAAUCUUUGUCCUCCUUAAAUACCUGAAAUCAGUAGUGCUUAUUAUGUUCUUUGAGAUUGAAAAUACGUACGAAUGGUCUAUGUAGUUUACUUAUUUAUUAGAAUGACUAUGGCACAAUUAUUAGUCUCAUGCCUAUUGAAGAAUAGAACUAUUAGUUAUGAUGUCCUUAUAUCGUAAUGAAAGAUAACACAAAUGGCAGCAGGAUUAUAUUGCAAUAUAGUAUACCUUUCUUGUGAAGAGGUCUUGUGCAUCCUUGCAUUCAAGAACUUUGAGCUUGUAUAUGUUUUUUUGUUUCUCUGAACAAUGUUUUGCUAUACUCUCUUCCCUUGUGGUCACUAUAAUCCGGCAUGAACUAUCUAAUUUAGGGAAGCUUCCAAAUAUAUUAUCCCAUUCUGCUAUUGAUGAAAGAUCAUCAAGAACAAUCAAGCACUUCCUCCCUUCAAGAAGCCUAGCUAACUCUUUUAUUAAUGCUUCAACUCCCAUCAUUAUUGGGGCUGUGUUUCUUGCACCAUGUGCAAAAUCUAUUGCUCCUUUCUUUUCAGAAGAUUGUACAUUUAGUUGCAUAAUUAAGCUCUUCAGGAACUCCUUAAGAAUGAAAGGGCGCAUCACUGUAACACAAGCAUGCUUCUCAAACACACCAACAUGCUUCUGACUUUCAUAAACAUCUUUGAUCAGAGUAGUUUUCCCAAGACCACCCAUUCCCUAUACUGAGAUCACUGCAAGCUCAUGAUUAGAUGGAUUUGAAAUGAGGUUGAUGAUAUCAGUUUUUUCUUUCUGCCGACCGAUAAGUUGUGAUUCCUCCAAAGCACUUGCCAUAGUUUUGAUGCGAGCAAGGCUUUUUGCAAAUACCUUUAUCUCAUUGCCACCUUGAGAUUGAUGUCCCAGUGUUACAUUAGUACUUAUUGAUUCAUCUGAGCUAGACACUACCAGUGGUAUUUUUAUUUGAUCUUGACAAUCCUAUGCAGAGGUAAACUUUAGUUAUCAGAAUUUUAAAUUUGUCGAUGUUUAAACAAUAUUUUGACUCAAAAAGGUAAAUUCUAGCAUAAAUGCAUAUAAAUUUAUGAUGGGCACAGAUAGAUUGCUUGGGUAAUUAAAAGAAACAAGAUAGAUUGAUUUGGCAAGAAUGGAAUUAUAACAUAUAGGGGAGGCUAGUAUCUAGCCCAAUUACAAAUGAGGUGUUUAGAUAGAACUAUAAUGUGCAAGAUUGUUAUUGGCCAAUAUAUAGAUUUUCUUUAACACUAAUAUUACUAACAAUAGAUUCUAUUUGGAUGAUCGAUGUUAAUUCUCACUAGACAUGCUAGAAAAAUAGAUAGAUCUUAGAAAAUCUCACAAAGAGCGAAACAUUCUACCAUCAAUUUUGUAGACUCAAUCGUUGUUGAUAACAAUAAGCAUAGGAUGUAAUUUACUUUAAAAAUGACCUACCUCUACCAUUACAAAGAUAAUAUCCAAAAUCUACACCUAAAAUCCCCACAUAUGCCAUUAUGAAUAAGAAUUUAAUCAUCCCCUAAAUCUCCAUACAAGUGACCAAUCACUGCUACUAUGAAAAUAAAGCAUAAGUAACCUCGCAAUUUGUAUCUAAAUUACCAAUACCCUCUGCCAUUAUGAAUAAGAAUUUAAAUAAGAUAAUAAAUUUGUGCCUAGAUUAUCCAUCAUUUCCAUUAUUAAAAAUAACUUAAAGUAAUGCUUAAAUCUACAUCUGAAUUGCACAUUUCUAUGAUUAUAAAGUAUAAUAACCCAAAGCAUGCCCUAUAAAUGCUUCUAAAAUGAUCAUUUGUAUCAUCAUUAAUAUGUGAAAAAACUAAAGUAUACACAUCCAUGAUGUUUACCACCAUAGAAACCAAGUAGCAAGCAUGUAGGGAUCAAUAGAUAACAUUUUGACUGACAACAUUAUAACAUCUACAAUGAUAGUUACAUUAUGACCACUCUAAUUAUUUUCUCCCUCAAGCUAUUCUUUUGAUCUAUUUUUGUAACAUAAGUUAUAAUGUCAUGUGUCGUCCCAAUUAAUAUGAACUUAAAACUCAACCGGUACAUGGAGAAACAAAAAAAAAAUCUCAUUAGGGGUAGCAUAGACCAAUUGAAAUAGUUUGGGGAGUACAUCUAGUUAUUCAAGGAACUAAGCGGACAUAGUGGAUUGCUUAGGGUAGUAAAAUAGACAUCUUCAUUUAGUAAAGUUUUUCUAUAAGAAAUGUUUACACCUCUAGACAUGCUGGUUGACAAUCUUGUUUAUUCCUUCCACUUCUAACAGUUAUGCUUCUUAUGCUACCAUGUAUAGGAGCAUGUACUUGUUGAUGGACUCGUCCUUAUGGACGAAAAUUGAUACAUUUUUUCCCGUGCCUAUAAAUAUGGUAAAAGAAUACUGGAUACAACAACCUGAAUCCUUGUAACUAUCUGAGAUAAAGAAAAAUAACAAGAGGUGACACUAAUUCGAUAAUUUCUGAAGGAUGAAUAGUACCUUCUCGUAGAAAGCAUAAAUAGUCUGAUGAGCGGAGAACUGCUAAAGCUCCAACGCUUGGCAUUCUUGCCCUGCACACAAGCUUGCAACUUCAAUUUGUAGGCUGCAAACUAUGAUUCGACUCCCUUUCUUGUGGUUCGGCGGCAGACAUGCUUUAACCCCAUUCCACUCUUCGAAGGUGGACAAGUUAUUAAGCACAAUCAGGAAACUAUUCUCGCUUAGGUAUCCAGAGAACUCCUCUGCCAAUUCUUUUCCUGUCUUCUUGGUCUCCAACAGAACAUCGACCCCCACGGCUGAUCGGAACUGCUUCACUAAGCUUUGGCUGAAGUCAUUCGGAUUGAAGGGAUGCGAGAUCCUUACCCAUGCCCGGCACGAAAACUUCUUUUUGAUAUGUGGAUUCUCGUAGGCAACGUUGAUGAUGGAUGUCUGCCCAAGAUCACCACUGGUUCCCCACACUGCGAUCACUCUAAGAUCCUCGCCCGGUGAUUCAGCACUUCGAGCAAGAUCAUCGAGGAGAGGCGGUGUUGAUUGAGCCCGGAGAUGGUGGAGAUGC